GUCAGGAACCUCAGCCUAAAGCCAUGAGGCUUGAAAGAGCAAUCUGACAAGCCAUUCUGACCAGCCUAAGUCUUAACUGACUACGUUUUUUGAGUCACGACACCCUGGAAUGCGAAGCUAGUUCCUUGCUCUGUC
rnacentral:sRNA from 21 species